rnacentral:lncRNA from 13 species
CGCCUUCUAUUGUGAAGACAGCCAUUACCCAGGAUGGUGGGGACCUGGACAAUAAGAGGGUUUUGGAGGAGGCCUCUCUGCCCCCUUAGUUUUGACUCUCUUGUCUGUUCUUAUCUUUUCCUCCUGGGGUUCUAAGAAUCCACCCCUGGGCACACCACCGCCUCAAGUUGGAGAGAAGUGAGGGAGAGGGUGAAGAUGAUAGAAGAAAGAGUGAUCUCUCUACACUGGGGGCCCAACCACCCAGAGCCAACCCUGAUGGCCUCCUCCCUGCCUUCCUCCAGGAGGGAGCCCAGUGUCCCUCUCUGGGCUCCUUCCUCCAGGUUCUCCUGGAUCCACAGCCACGCAGCCCUGCUUUGGUCGAUGGCUCCAGUGGCUGGGUGUGCUGUAUGGGAUCAUCCACCUCUUUCUCUUCCUGCCCUGAGUGGCCUCGUACAGGUAGCCUCCCUGAGGAUGCAGGCAGAGUACAUUGUGGAGAUCAGCAGAGAGCUGAGGCCAGAAGACCUCGCCCAACUCAGCCCUGUUCCCAACUUUAUUUUCUGCCAGUGA